CAUUUAAAGAGUGCGUAAUAGCUCACUAGUCGAGAAAACCUGCGCCGAAAAUGUAACGGGGCUAAAACACGACACCGAAGCUACGGAUUUCCUACAAGGUAGGAAGUGGUAGAGGAGCAUCCUGCAAGGACGAAGCCAAAGUGAGAGCGAUGGUGGACGAAACAGGAGAGAGAAUGCCGGAAUGAGUAGCGAGAUACAUGUGAGAAACAUGUAGGCCGAAUAUCUAAGGAUUCCUGGGUAAAGCUAAUCUUCCCAGGGUUAGUCGGGGCCUAAGGCGAGGACGAAAGUCGUAGUCGAUGGAUAACAGGUGGAGAUUCCUGUACUACACAUAAUCAGAACUGUGGGGACGCAGGAGGAUAGGGAAACCGGGGAAUGGAAAGACCCGGUCAAGCGUAAAGCUGUGGGAGAUAGGCAAAUCCGUCUCUUGUAAGCUGAAGACGUGAUGAGGACUGAAAAAAAGUAAGGAAGUUUCCGAAUCCACACUGCCGAGAAAAGCCGCUAUUGCGUUAUGUGUACCCGUACCGUAAACCGACACAGGUAGAUGAGGAGAAAAUCCACAGGCCGACGGGAGAAGUGUUGUUAAGGAACUCGGCAAAAUGACCCCGUAACUUCGGGAUAAGGGGAGCCUCGCAAGAGGCCGCAGAAAAGAGGCACAAGCAACUGUUUAGCAAAAACAUAGGUCUAUGCGAAACCGUAAGGUGAAGUAUAUGGGCUGACGCCUGCCCGGUGCUGGAAGGUUAAAAGGAGAGGUCAGCGCAAGCGAAGCUUUGAAUUCAAGCCCCAGUAAACGGCGGCCGUAACUAUAACGGUCCUAAGGUAGCGAAAUUCCUUGUCAGGUAAGUUCUGACCCGCACGAAAGGCGUAAUGAUUUGUGCACUGUCUCGACAACACGCCCGGUGAAAUUGAAGAACCAGUGAAGAUACUGGUUACCCGCAACAGGACGGAAAGACCCCAUGGAGCUUUACUGCAGCCUGAUACUGGGAUUCGAUGAUGUAUGUACAGGAUAGGUGGGAGACUAAGAAGGUAGUACGCCAGUAUUGCCGGAGUCGACGGUGGGAUACCUCUCUUAUGUAUUGGGUUUCUAACCAGAGUCCGUGAAUCCGGACUUGGGACAAUGUCAGGCGGGCAGUUUGACUGGGGCGGUCGCCUCCUAAAAGGUAACGGAGGCGCUCGAAGGUCACCUCAGAAUGAUUGGAAACCAUUCAAAGAGUGUAAAGGCAAAAGGUGGCUUGACUGCGAGAGCGACGGGUCGAGCAGGUACGAAAGUAGGACUUAGUGAUCCGG
rnacentral:rRNA from 1 species